CAGCCGCCACGGUAAUACAGAGGGUGCAAGCGUUAAUCGGAAUUACUGGGCGUAAAGCGCGCGUAGGUGGUUUGUUAAGUCGAAUGUGAAAUCCCCGGGCUCAACCUGGGAACUGCAUCCGAAACUGGCAAGCUAGAGUAUGGUAGAGGGUAGUGGAAUUUCCUGUGUAGCGGUGAAAUGCGUAGAUAUAGGAAGGAACACCAGUGGCGAAGGCGACUACCUGGACUGAUACUGACACUGAGGUGCGAAAGCGUGGGGAGCAAACAGGAUUAGAUACCCCCGUAGUCCCUGUCUCUUAUAA
rnacentral:rRNA from 1 species